rnacentral:tRNA from 1 species
GGAAGGGCUGUGGCUCAGUGGUAGAGCAACUUCUUGACACAGUCCUGGGUUCAAUCCCUGGUAUCUCCA